UAAGAAUUGCCCUGCAAAUUGUAUUGGCCAGACAAAAUUCUCAUUGAACACACGUAUCAAUGAACAUAAAAAUAACAAAAACGAUAAAUCUGUGGUUCGUGCACAUCAACUAAAUUGUGAUCAUGACUUCGAUUGGAAGAAUACCAUUAUACAAGAUCGUAAAAAAAUGAUAAAAAACGCUUUAUUUCCUAAAUGUUUCAUAUUUUAAGUAACGAUUCUACAAUUAAUAAGAAGGCGGAUAUUUGUUUUCAUAAUAGAGCGUAUAUCCCUCUUAUCAGAAGAUUAAAUUCCAGAAAAACUUCCAAAAUCCAGCGGGAGUCCCUAGGAAUCUUUGCAUUUUGAAUUUCAUUCAAGGAGCCUGGAACGGAAAGGAGGGAACCGCCACGCGGUCCUUGCAAUUUCUUCCAAGGGUACCUUUAGAAGAGGGUUACCAACCCUUUUACAAGGCUCUGCGGUUGUCCUUAGAACAAACUUUUUAUCGUACGUCGAAAGGGGAACCACAAUGUUACGCCAAUUGGCAAGUGACUUUUGCGGUUGACCAGGAUGAGGCUUGGGAAGAUGUUGGCAAGGAAGGACUUAUAAGAGACGAGGAUACAAUAAAAUCAAAGGAGGGAAUAGUUGAAGACGAAGAUUGGUGGUAGCGGCACGUUAUAAACCCCUGCCCUCUUUUCUUCUUCUCUUUUUUUAGAAGCAACCUUUUCUCCUUUAUAACCUCUUUUUUAUUAUCUCAACAAACAAAAUGAAGUCAGAGGAAUUGUAAUAAUUAUAAGAAUUAUAAAAAUAAACUAAGAAUAGAAAAUCUGAACAGAAGUGGAAUACCCUCAUUAUGACGUAUACUUUAUUAAUACGAAACGAGAUAAAUACUUCCAUUGACACAUCAGCUUAAUUUUUCUCUCUCUUCUUUUUUA